AUACUACUAUAAAUCAUCAAGUCAGAUGUAUGCACACUUUGCACAGUACAGUAUACUUGUUAUGAGUUAUGAUCUCUGCUGAUCUGCUCAUAGUGGCUGACUAAUGUGCCUGCACAGGUCUUCAGCAUUGUACUAAGAUGGCCACUUGCGGGUCAUGUUUCUGGUGCAUCAUAUGGCUCAUUGUUCUGCUGUUCAUUGGCUGGCCCAUCAGCAUCGCUUUAGGGGGUCUCUACGGCCUCAUCAGCCCCCUCACCACCUGCCUUGGCCUGGACCGACUGUCUGACUUACUCCUGGAGGGAGCUAAUGUGGGCAGAACCUGUGCCAAUAACAUGAGGCACAGCAAGCCUUUGUGUUGAAAUCCAUCCUGUCUGAUCAGGACCAGAAAAAACAGAGGUCGAAGCCUUCACCUCAGGAAGAACUGUUAAUGUCUGAUUUAUGUGGAGCUAUUCCAGCACGACUGGUGCACAAUUCCCUGAGAAACCUUCCAGCAACUUAUGUCACAAUAAGGUCCAGAAAGUCCUGGAAAAUUGAUUCCUCUCUCACUGGUAACAUGUAAUUAAUCACAGAUUUUAAAUUUGCAUGGGUUUGUCAGGAAGAAAAUAGGCUUGCAGUUCAUGGUCUGUGUUUGCUGUUUAAUUCACAAUGACGCUGCGUGGAGACGAUAAGAACGAAAAUGCCAAUUUAACAAUGAAAAUAUUUAGACUUGGUAAUGUCUGUAUGGAAAUAUAUGGAAAUGCGAUUAAAACUGCUUUGAACUUGCC
ensembl:lncRNA